GUGGAUUAGAUACCCUAGUAGUCCACGCCGUAAACGGUGGGUGCUAGGUGUAGGCGGUAUUCCACGCCGUCUGUGCCGCAGCUAACGCAUUAAGCACCCCGCCUGGGGAGUACGGCCGCAAGGCUAAAACUCAAAGGAAUUGACGGGGGCCCGCACAAGCAGCGGAGCAUGUGGCUUAAUUCGACGCAACGCGAAGAACCUUACCAAGGCUUGACAUGCAGGGAAAUCCUCCAGAGAUGGGGGGUCCGUAAGGGUCCUGCACAGGUGGUGCAUGGCCGUCGCCAGCU
rnacentral:rRNA from 1 species